CAAGUCGAGGGGUAACAUGGGUAGCAAUACCUGAUGGCGACCGGCAAACGGGUGCGGAACACGUACGCAACCUUCCCAAAAUUGGUGAAUAGCCCUCCGAAAGGAGGAUUAAUACACCGUAACAUAUAGAGAUGGCAUCGUCUUUAUAUUAUAGCUCCGGCGAUUUUGGAUGGGCGUGCGACUGAUUAGGUAGUUGGCGGGGUAACGGCCCACCAAGCCUGCGAUCAGUAACUGGUGUGAGAGCACGACCAGUCACACGGGCACUGAGACACGGGCCCGACUCCUACGGGAGGCAGCAGUAAGGAAUAUUGGUCAAUGGACGAAAGUCUGAACCAGCCAUGCCGCGUGAAGGAUGAAGGUCCUCUGGAUUGUAAACUUCUUUUAUAUGGGACGAAAAAAGGGAAUUCUUUCUCACUUGACGGUACCAUAGGAAUAAGCACCGGCUAACUCCGUGCCAGCAGCCGCGGUAAUACGGAGGGUGCAAGCGUUAUCCGGAUUCACUGGGUUUAAAGGGAGCGUAGGUGGGCAGGUAAGUCAGUGGUGAAAUCUCCGGGCUUAACCCGGAAACUGCCAUUGAUACUAUUUGUCUUGAAUAUUCUGGAGGUAAGCGGAAUAUGUCAUGUAGCGGUGAAAUGCUUAGAUAUGACAUAGAACACCCAUUGCGAAGGCAGCUUACUACGGAAUUAUUGACACUGAGGCUCGAAAGCGUGGGGAUCAAACAGGAUUAGAUACCCUGGUAGUCCACGCCCUAAACGAUGGAUACUCGACAUCAGCGAUACACUGUUGGUGUCUGAGCGAAAGCAUUAAGUAUCCCACCUGGGAAGUACGACCGCAAGGGUUGAAACUCAAAGGAAUU
rnacentral:rRNA from 1 species